UUUCUAUGUUCUGUUUUGCAGUCUAUUUUGACACAGUUAAGAAGUCAAACUGACCCUCAUUCGUCUCUGUGCCACCCCUUAGCCACUAAAUGGCAGAGAGGCCUCACCACGGAUGCCCACUCAGCCCCCAAAGUGAGAUGUGAGUUUGCAAGGCUUAAAGGGGAGCAGGAAACUGACUGGAGCCCAACAAACAGUGCUACUCCUGCCACUGUUUUUAAAAACCCAGGUUUUAAACACCUAGAUGACGGGAACCAGGUCCCAUUCCACAUUGUGUUUGGCUGACCAGUUCUGCCACUGUCACCUAGCAAAGCCUUCCUGCACAAACAAAUGACUAGAAGAGGAUUGACAAGCUUACCUUCUGAAAUACUUCUAUGAGGUGACAGCACCAAGAAUAUUUUUGGAAGCAUGUGAUGAGUUGUACAAUGAAGAGAGAUCCCUUUGUGACGUGUCUCCAGGAUACGUUAUCUAUGAAGACAGAAAGAGAAUCAUUCAGAGGUGGCCUCAGGCCCACAAAUCCCUGUGUGCACUGGAAAGACACAUACGUGGGGUCGAGGAGCAGAAAGCAACGAAGUCCUUCUCAAUGUGGACCUUGUGGACGGCAUCACUCUCCAGGAGCAGAGGUCGAUGUGAGAAGCUGUUGGUCGAGGUCACUGCUGAGUCACUGACCCACACUUCCCCAAGACUUUCUGUGGAGAUAUCAACUUUCUACACACUGUGUGCCUCUCAGGAUGACUAGAGCAAUUGCCCACCUCUUUGUUUUUAAGUAGUUAUUCCAACCAGUUAGACACAUGCACGCACGCACACACACACACACACACACACACACAC